GGAUGGGUGGCCGAGCGGUCUAUGGCACCGGUCUUGAAAACCGGCGCAGGUGUGAGCCUGCCGUGGGUUCGAAUCCCACCCCAUCCGCCA
rnacentral:tRNA from 1 species